GGUCCAUUGGUGUAGUGGUUAUCACGUCAGUCUUACACACUGAAGGUCCGCGGUUCGAACCCGCGAUGGGCCA
rfam:Globodera pallida, Lindley, WGS project CBXT01000000 data, contig: pathogens_Gpal_scaffold_24_contig_79